rnacentral:rRNA from 1 species
GCAUAUCAAUAAGCGGAGGAAAAGAAACCAACAGGGAUUGCCCUAGUAACGGCGAGUGAAGCGGCAACAGCUCAAAUUUGAAAUCUGGCCCUCGGGUCCGAGUUGUAAUUUGUAGAGGAUGCUUUUGGUGCGGUGCCUUCCGAGUUCCCUGGAACGGGACGCCAUAGAGGGUGAGAGCCCCGUCUGGUUGGACACCAAGCCUCUGUAAAGCUCCUUCGACGAGUCGAGUAGUUUGGGAAUGCUGCUCUAAAUGGGAGGUAUAUGUCUUCUAAAGCUAAAUACCGGCCAGAGACCGAUAGCGCACAAGUAGAGUGAUCGAAAGAUGAAAAGCACUUUGAAAAGAGGGUUAAAUAGUACGUGAAAUUGUUGAAAGGGAAGCGCUUAUGACCAGACUUGAGCCCGGUUAAUCAUCCAGCCUUCUGGCUGGUGCACUUGGCCGGCUCAGGCCAGCAUCAGUUCGGCGCGGGGGAUAAAGGCUUCGGGAAUGUGGCUCCUCCGGGAGUGUUAUAGCCCGUUGUGUAAUACCCUGUACUGGACUGAGGUUCGCGCAUCUGCAAGGAUGCUGGCGUAAUGGUCAUCAGCGACCCGUCUUGAAACACGGACCAAGGAGUCGUCUUCGUAUGCGAGUGUUCGGGUGUCAAACCCCUACGCGUAAUGAAAGUGAACGCAGGUGAGAGCUUCGGCGCAUCAUCGACCGAUCCUGAUGUUCUCGGAUGGAUUUGAGUAAGAGCAUACGGAGCCGGACCCGAAAGAAGGUGAACUAUGCCUGUAUAGGGUGAAGCCAGAGGAAACUCUGGUGGAGGCUCGCAGCGGUUCUGACGUGCAAAUCGAUCGUCAAAUAUGGGCAUGGGGGGCGAAAGACUAAUCGAACCUUCUAGUAGCUGGUUUCCGCCGAAGUUCCCUCAC